rnacentral:rRNA from 1 species
UGCCUAUUAGUGGGGGACAGCCCAGCGAAAGCUGGAUUAAUACCGCAUACGCCCUACGGGGGAAAGCAGCAAUGCGCUAAUAGAUGAGCCCGCGUAAGAUUAGCUAGUUGGUAAGGUAAAGGCUUACCAAGGCGACGAUCUUUAGCUGGUCUGAGAGGAUGGCCAGCCACAUCGGGACUGAGACACGGCCCGGACUCCUACGGGAGGCAGCAGUCGGGAAUAUUGGACAAUGGGCGCAAGCCUGAUCCAGCAAUACCGCGUGUGUGAAGAAGGCCUGCGGGUUGUAAAGCACUUUCAGUUGGGAAGAUAAUGACGUUACCAACAGAAGAAGCACCGGCUAACUCCGUGCCAGCAGCCGCGGUAAUACGGAGGGUGCAAGCGUUAAUCGGAAUUACUGGGCGUAAAGCGUGCGUAGGCGGCCUGUUAAGUCAGAUGUGAAAGCCCCGGGCUUAACCUGGGAACUGCAUCUGAUACUGGGAGGCUAGAAUGUGGGAGAGGAGAGUGGAAUUU